rnacentral:misc_RNA from 1 species
GGAAAUGCUGGAAAGAAAAGAUUCUUGAAACUUAAAACUAUUUUUCUUCCUCUUUAUGGCGCGGGAAAAUUUUCUGGUGUAGUUUUCCCAUAGAGGAAUAUGCAUUCAAGUCCAAUUGAUAUAGUAGAUGUGUUAUUAAGGCUAUUUUCAUUAGUUCUGAAAUAAAACAUGUAUCAAUUAAAAUUGCAGGGAUUGACUCCAUUGCCAUGG